ACCACAACGUCAGGGAUGUCACUCGUCAGACGUUCCGGCAGCCAGCGCUGCUCAUUAAGCCUGCCAGAGCCACACUGAUCUGUGUAAGAAACCUAUGGGCCCAGGCUGUUGGGGCCACCAAAUUAUAAUUACAAAUACUGAGUGUCUGGUUAGGAGAAACAAGUAUAUUGCACCCACAGGGAUUAGCCCCAUUUUAAUAAGAAAUUGCCCAAAAUCCCUUAGAUAACAGUCAUGCAGAAUAUAUAAGAAAGCUUUUUUGUUUUUCAGCCAAUCAGAGAGCAGCACUACUGAAAUAGAACUCUCAGGAGUGAGGGGCUGAUGCUGGACACUGUAGGGACCGAGAAUGCAAAGUCAUAUACACUACUGUGACUGAUGCAUUAUUUCCAGGAUGUGGAGUAGCAUUUCCGGCCCUACAGCAAGACGUUGGAUGAAGACGUGGAUUUCCAGACCUAUUCCAGAAGAAUUUGGAUGAAGGCACAGCCCCUCGAAUCACGCACAUACACAGACACAUUGGCCCAAAUUCUAGAGGUAACCUCCUUUAGUAUGCCCAGAGGAAGGGCAAUACAGUAGCCAUGGAUUCCCUACAGGUUUCCUCCCCUCUGGAGGUUUUUCCUGUCCUGAGUAUUAGUUACUGUACGCUCUUUGUGAGUGAUGGAGGUUACAUAAAAUCCCUACACACACAUUUUAAUAUAUAAUAAAUAAAGU